CACACUUGUGAUUGGUUAUUGGUUAUUGGUUAUAUGAGAAUCAAGUUAGUACAUUAAUGCAAUGUACUAAUGGUAAUGAAGACAUGAGAUAAGAAGUACAUCAAGCAAUUAAUGAAGCAACAUUGGGCUCCAAGUACUACAUUGUGAUUGAAUUAUGGAGAAUCAAAUAAGUACACUAGUAAAUUGUACUAGUUGUUAGUGGGUACUUGGGCUCCGAUGCAUUUUCCCUAUAAGUACUCUUGUUCUAGGCCUUAGUUAGAUGCACCAAAGUCUCAUUGUAAGAACAACCUUUUUAGCUUAUGUAUUCUCCCUAAUUAGCUCCUCUCUUCCUUAUAUUAAUCUCCCACUUUAAUUCCUAUUAAGUUUGGUAAUCUCCUUUAAACACAUUAAUAUUAAUCCUAGGCUAGAUGGUGGAUGUAAUUCAUUCAUUGAUGAACCACUUUAAAUUUUUGUCCUAAUUAUUUCUUUAUUAUUGUCAUUCAUUAUAUAUACUCACAUAUUUAGUUUCUACACUAAGACACAUCAUAAACUUUCAUCAAAACUCUCGUCUUUGCCCUAAUUAUUUUUUACUAUUGUCAUUCAAUAUGUUAUCCCAAAAGAAUAAUAAAUUCACUUAAAAUUAAGUUAACUAUAUUUGUCACUACAAAAAACAACUGAUUUAGCGAUGGAAAAAUAGUGAGGGGAAGUGUUCGUCGCCCAUGGCGACGGCAAGGCGAGAGAGAGGCUGGUCGCGAAAGCAGAAAGUUCUAUGGCGACGGGAACUAUCGUCGCCCAGUGGUCGCCAUCUGCCUUUUUUUUUUUUAUUUUACUACAUGGCGACGGGCUCUCCUGUCGGCAUUUCGUCGCCAAGGAUGACAGAAUUUUUUUAUUUUUUAAUUUGAUGCGUGGCGACGGGUAUGUUUAUCGCCACUUAGUCGCCAUGUUUGGUUUUAUUUUUUUUAAAGUGGGCGACAGAGCCUUUGGUAGCCCUUUGGUCGCCAUAUUUUUGAAUUUCAAUUUAAAAGUGGCGAUGGGUUUGUAAUCGUCGUCUUGUCACUAUUUUGUUCUAUAAAUAAGCUGCGAAUUGUUGUGGAUCGUAUAUUUUGGAAGCUAAAGAAUUAGAAGAGGUGUUAAAAAUGAGUUCUAGGCAAGAAAGAAGUUGGAUGUACAACCGACGAAAAAAUGGAAAGUUUAGUUUAAGAUUUAUGAGAGGGUUGGAAGAGUUUUUAGAAUUUGCUCGUACACAAAGCUUGAGUUCUGAGAUUAGAUGUCCUUGUAAAAAGUGUAAAAAUUGUUGUUAUAAGGAACCAAAUGAAAUAAGAGAACAUUUAAUGAGAAGGGGGUUUGUUGAAAAUUACUAUGAGUGGAAUAUCAUCAGAACACAGAGAUAGGAACAACAUCUGAUGUUGUAGCGGAAGUCGGAGAGCAAUCGUCAAACAAUCCAAAUCCAUACUCACAGAUGGUACAUGAUGCAGUAGCUAGUGUGUUUCCAGACAAUUACCAUCACUUUCUUCCCUCACAAUAUAAUGUAGUGUCAGUAGAUAAUGAACCAUCGGUACACGUUGGCGAAUAUCCAAACCCACAGUGUCAACAGUUUUUUGAAAUGUUAAAUUCUGUAAAUAGUCCUUUAUAUGAAGGUUGUAAAAAUCACACCAAGAUGUCUAUUAUUGGUCGACUUACAAACCUGAAGACAGACCAUUGUCUCACUGAGAGGUGUUACGACGAUAUUUGUGGUAUUGUGAACGAAGUGUUACCAGAAGAGAAUACGAUGGUAAACAACUUCUACGAAACGAAAAAACAAAUAACUGCCCUUGGAUUACCUGUUGAGAAGAUAGAUUGUUGUCCUAACGGAUGUUUGAUAUAUUGGGGGAAUAAUGCGAAUGCAACUUGCUGUUACAUUUGUGAAACUUCUAGAUGGAGAAGAAACAGUAAGGGUGAUAAGGUUUCGCGGAAACAAUUUCAUUAUUUUGCCCUAGGCCCCAGAUUACAAAGAUUGUAUGCUUCAGAGGCAACAACUAGGCAUAUGAGGUGGCAUGCAGAGCACCGCACUAAGGAUAGAGAGAUGAUACAUUCGUUCGAUGUUGAAGCGUGGUUGACAUUUAACGAUAUUCAUCCAGACUUUGCAUUGGAGACUCGAAACGUGCGGCUUAGUCUGUGUACAGAUGGUUUUAACCCAUUUGGAAGUUCGGGUCAACAGUAUUCAUCGUGGCCUGUCAUUUUAACACCAUACAAUUUUCCGCCAUGAAUGUGCAUGAAGAAGCCGUAUAUGUUCUUGACCGUGAUUGUCCCUGGGCCGAGUAAUCCAAAGCACAACAUUGACUUAUAUCUUCAACCACUAAUACAAGAGUUGAAUAUAUUGUAGGAGGAGGGUAUUUGUACAUUUGAUGUGUCAAGAAAGGAGAAUUUUCAACUACGAGCAGCUUUAAUGUGGACGAUCAAUGACUUUCCGGCUUAUUCGAUGUUGUCCGGGUGGAGUACUGCGGGCCGAUAUGCUUGCCCUUACUGCAUGGAUGAUUCCCAAGCUUUCUACCUUACGCAUAGCAAGAAGUUACCUUAGACAUUUGAAACUGAAUGUGAAAAAUAAAGCUCAUGUUGAAGCGUCGAUAUGCAACGCAUAUUUAACCGAGGAAGCAUCGCUGUUUUCCAUUAUUUUGAGCCACAUGUGCGAUGCAGGGUCAGAGACCUUCCUACGAAUGACGAUGGAAGUUAAUACAAUAUUGUAACUGGUGUAUUCACAAUCUUCAGUCAUCCAAUAAGAUUUCAUGGAAAAGGAAUUGCAUAUAUUUUGGAUGAAAGAGAUUACGAGAUUGCACAUAGAUACGUGCUAAUGAACUGUCCAGAGGUGGAUGUAUUUGUAUCUGAGUUUAAAAGUUCAAUUCAAAGAUAUCAACCGAAUUGGUCAAGUCAGAGGAUUGAAGCGUUUGUGCAAGAGAAUUUCACUGAUGCGUUCCGAACUGCAGCAAGACAAGGAUCAUUCGAUAACCGAGUGAACAGUGACAUUUUGAAGCAGAUUGCUGAAGGACCACUAAAACAUGCUCGGAGUUACAAUGUCUGUUACACAAACGGAUAUAGAUUCCGUAUAGUACGUCAUGCAUCAAAUAAAUUAGCAGAAAAUAGUGGAGUGUGCGUCAAAGCUGCUGACAACAAUCGUGACGAAGAAGAUUUUUACAGGCAAUUGCUUGAAAUCGUAGAGGUUGAAUACCCGGGGAUAACUAUCAAAAGAGUAACGUUGUUCAAAUGUCAUUGGUAUGACCCAACUACUACUGGGAAUAGCCGCGAAACAAAUAUUCAUAAACGAUAUAAGUUAGUUGACAUACAUCAAGGUCGUUCGUAUCGUUUAUAUGAUCCGUUUGUGUUGGCAAGUCAAGCAUGUCAAGUGUAUUAUCUUCCAUAUCCGAGUACAAGACAAAAUUUAAAAGAUUGGAGAGCGGUUUGCAAAGUCAAACAGAAUUAAUUUGACAAAGAAGUAGAACAGGAAUCCAAAGAUGCUGCUUUCCAAGAAGAAAAUAGGGACCGUAUUGAAAUUGAAGAAGAUGUUUCCCAAACACUGCUUCUUGAUCCAUCUGGCGAAAUUGUUCAACAGGUGCGUGAUAAUGAUGAAGAUACUGAAGAAGAUGUGGAUCUUGUAUUGUCAGAAGACGAACAAUCCGAAGAUGAAGAUGUUGAGAACGACGACUAUUUUAGUGAUGAAGAUUAAUUUAAUUUUUUAUAUGUAAUUAUUUAAUAUUUUGUAAUAUUUAAUACAAUUUAAUUAUAGUGCUUCGAAUUAUUAAUAUUUUGUAGUAAUAAUAAUAAUAACAACAACAACAACAAAAUAAAUAUAUAUCAACAAUAAUCAUAAUAACUAGAGGUGUUCAUUCGGUUGAUCGGGUCGGUUUCGGACGGGUGUUAUUCGGUUCGGUUGCAUUUCGGAUCGGUUAUUUUUCGGUUGUGUGUUACAACGGGUCACACUCGAAUCGAGUCGGUUAGUCACGGUUCGGUUAGAGAUCGGUUAUUCAAGCUAUCGGGUUAGCAUCAGUUCUUUGUCGGUUGAAUUUCGUGUCGAGUGUCAAUCGGUCUCGGGUUGUCAUCGAUUACUAAUUGGUUCGGUUUUUUCGGGUACAGAUCGGGUUCGAGCUUUAUUUUUUGAGUAGAUAUCGGUUACGGAUAACUAUUGAUCGGG